GCCGGAGCAGCGGCACACGCCAUUGAGGUGCUGAGGAGCUGCCCCAUGCCCAAGGAGAGGACGACGGUGAUGCCCACCCUACAACUCAUCGCCUUCAUCCUCUGCCUCACCACCUGCGUCCUGUGGGGUCAAGCUUCAUCAGAGCAGAGAGUGAUGGAGAAUGACAUGGAAGAGUUGCUGCAGCAGGGCUGUGGCAGCAGCCCCCGCGCCAGGGAGAGGUGAGCACCAGCUCCCG
rnacentral:lncRNA from 1 species